AGCACUACUUUAACGGCAACAAAAUAGAAAUCAAGAUUUGCCCAAUUCUCUCCCACUUCUGGAGAGAGAAAGACAAAACAAACAGUCUGAUUUUCCGAGAAAAUUUUGGCAAAGAUUUAGUCCAGGAAAAGUAAAGGCAUAAUUUCGAUUCCGAUCUUAAAAUUUCACCUAAUAACAUUUUCGUUCUCGUUCUUUGCUUUCGAACUUUGAUUGAACGCGCCGAAGAUUAAUUUUUAGGGUUUCAAUUUGGGGGGGAAAGAAAAUAAAAGAGAAAAUGAACGAUCAAUCUCAGAUGAUGAAUCAGGCCCAAAUGAUGGGUCUGAAUCAAUCGCAGAUGAUGAACCAGCAACCGCAGAUGAUGAUGAGCCAAUCGCAGAUGAUGAACCAGAUACCUCAGUCGUCUCAGCCUCAGUUGAUGAGUCAGUCGCAAGCCAUGGCGUCUCAGAUGAUGACGGCGGGUCAGUCUCAACCUCCGAUGAUGAAUAGAAGCCAUGGCUACAAGGGUUGGCCUCAACAACAACAACAACAGCAACAGAAAAAUCAGCAGAAGCAGCAACAGCCUUCUUUGGACCCGAGCAAGAAGUUUCAGAACUCUGCAAAGCCAAAUUUCUCUUCUCAAAAUAUUGGAAGAAACAAUUGGAAGGGAAAGAAGGGUACGGACAAGCGACUAGAUCCAAGAAGAAACGAACCACUUGUUCUUCCUAAUGCUUCCAUGACCAUGACUGGUGGUCCGAACAGUAGUGGCGGUGGCGGUGGAGGAGGAGGAGGAGGGUACAAACCCCCUACUCUUCACGAAUUGCAGUCACAGAAUCGAUUAAAAGCGAGGAAAUUCUACCCUAAGAAGAAGUUUAACAAUAGAUUUGCCCCUUAUGCGCCUAGGAACACUACUUCUUUUAUAAUCCGUGCUAAGAAAUCUGGUGGUAUUGCUUCGUUGGUGUCUCCUUGUCCGGUGACACCGGCGGUGCUUCCAACGCCGAUAUUCUCGCCGUCUAGGGAGAUUUUAGGCGAUAUGGCUAAAGAGGAGUGGGGUGUUGAUGGGUAUGGGUCGAUGAAAGGGUUGAUUAGGCUGCGUUCACCUGGGAAUGAUGAUGAAGAUGAUGAGGAAGGUGGUGGGGGUUCGAGUGAGAGUGAUGUAGAGGAACAUGUAGAGGUGGAGAGGAGAUUGGACCAUGAUUUGAGCCGAUUUGAGAUGAUAUACCCGAACUACAGUGGGAUGGAUUAUAACAAUGUUUUGGAGAAUAGAGUGGAUGAUCAAGAUACCCAUAUAGCUCAAUUGGAAGAAGAGAAUUUAACAUUGAAAGAAAGGCUUUUCUUGAUGGAGAGGGAGUUGGGUGAUUUCAGGAGGAGGCUGCAGUUUCUUGAAAGGCAGAGUCAUGCUGUGGUGGGAGAUGUUCAUGAAGAAGUGGUGGAAAAUGAGUCUGAUAAUGAAAGUGAGGGAGGGUCGGGUGCCCCUGAUAUGUGUCUGAGUGGAAAGAACAAUGAAGAAGUGAUUGAAUAUAUGUCUGGACAAGAAGGUAGCAGGGAUUUUGAUGGAGAUUCUAAGGAAACUGAACGUGUAGGGGAUGUUUCUAUGGAAGAAUUUGGACACCAUGGAGGAGUGAUUGUUAAGGAAAAUGAAGUAAAGGGUGACAUUGCUACUGCUGCUGCUGAGACCAAAGAUGAAGAUGAGGCUGCUAAGAUGGAGGAGGUACCAGAUGAAGCAAUGACCGGAAACGAGGAGGAAGGAGAAGAAGAAUUAAAGGGUAACUUGGCAGAGAAGAAGGAGGAGGAGGUGGAGAUUACUACUUGCUCAGAGAAGAAGAGCAUUGGUGACGGUGACUGAUGUCCCGCAUUAAUUCUGAUUGAUGGUCUGAGCAAGAAGAGCUUUUUGCAAGUUCUAGUUGAGGCUGGUAAGUAAAUAUGCAAGAUUUUAUCCAGGGACGAAACAGUCUCAUUGAGAAAUAAUAUUGGUCCUCUUUGCUAGUAACUUGAUAAUGUUGUUGCUAGUUGGAUAAAAUGGCACUUCGGAUGAGAAGAAGGAGCAACAAAAGCUCAGGAUCCUAUGAAUCAAACUGAAGUAUGUUGGGACUCUUUAAUAUUUGCUUUGCCAAUGUUGUCAGCUAAUAAAAUGACUUGGUUACUUUAACCAAGUUGUUAAAAUACAGUUUUGCUGUCGAAUUAUUCAUUUGUGCUUUGCAAUUCUCUUCGAUUCCAACAUAGUAUGUAGUUUAUCUUAAGGAGGAGUAUCAUCAUCUGAGAAUGAACUGAAAACUUUGCUGUUUGAGAUCUUCAGCAUGAAUAAACAGUGGGCAAAUGAGUGGAAAUCCAUUCAUUCAUGCAGAGAAAGGUUUCGAUGCAUGGCGACAAUUUCUUGACCUCUAUUAUGAGGAAAAAAUGAGGGAAACUGUGUGGAGGCAAAUGAUUGGCACUGCUUUGGAGGAAAGUAAUAUUCAUCCGAGCAGCCAUUAAAAGUCCUGGUUCAAAUACAAUAUUUUACUAAUUUGGGAUGUGAAAUGUUGGGCAAUAUUCUACAAUAUUCCUUGCUUUGAUUAUUAGACAAUCUGAUGAUCUUGUAGAUUUAUUCUAGCAUGUUAGUUAAGAUUUUGAUCCAAGUUAUUCCUCAUUGACUUGUCCAACCCUUCUUGUUUAGUAAGUUUAAGUUCAUGCCUAGUAAAGCUAAUUCUUCUCAUAAAAAACUUGACCUAAUUAAAUUACUCUAAUUAGAUUGUGAUAUGUAGCGACUUGGUCCAACUUUUAUUAAAUUCCCAUUUAGUCUAAAACUAGUUGUCGUGAUGUACAAGUAUAGGUAGGAAUAAAGCUUGGUAUAUAUGGUUGUACUCUAAAGUCGGCCCUAGAUUUGUGUUUGGGGGCUACGGAACUACGAAGAAAAGAUUAUUGAAUAAUGUAAUUUUGUGUUAAAAAAAAUAUA